UCAUGAAGCGGUGUGAAAAACUCUGGUGGUAUACGAUGGUUCCGCGUCUGAUUAGCUAGUUGGUGGGGUAAUGGCCUACCAAGGCAACGAUCAGUAGCCGGCCUGAGAGGGUGAACGGCCACAUUGGGACUGAGACACGGCCCAAACUCCUACGGAAGGCAGCAG
rnacentral:rRNA from 1 species